UGGAGACCGGUAGUAACACCAGUUGUAAACCCAAGGCCAAGAGACCAUGGCCACGUUAGCCCGGCUGCAAGCUAGGUCGUCGACUGUAGGAAAUCAGUACUACUUUAGGAACAGUGUUGUAGAUCCAUUUAGAAAAAAGGAGAAUGAUGCAGCAGUUAAAAUCCAAAGCUGGUUUCGAGGAUGUCAAGUUCGGUCAUAUAUCAGGCAUUUAAACAGGAUUGUAACAAUUAUUCAAAAAUGGUGGAGAAGUUUCUUAGGCAGAAAGCAAUAUCAACUAACUGUGCAGGUAGCAUAUUAUACUAUGAUGAUGAAUCUCUACAAUGCAAUGGCUGUCAGGAUUCAGAGACGAUGGCGAGGCUAUAGGGUUCGGAAGUACCUCUUUAAUUAUUAUUAUUUGAAAGAGUACCUGAAAGUCGUUUCAGAGACCAACGAUGCAAUUAGGACUUCAUUUGUCAGACAGAAAGAAAGAAAACUGGUAAUUCCAAACUGUCUACUGGCCCAUUGUUUUAAUCACUACCCCACUAUCUCCACUGAUCUUUGGUCUGCAAGGAAGGCACUGGAGGAGUUUGCAGAAAUGAAAGAAAGAGAAGAGAAGAAGGCUAACCUCGAAAGGGAAGAGAAGAAAAGAGAUUACCAAGCCCGAAAGAUGCAUUACCUCCUCAGCACAAAGCAGAUUCCAGGAAUAUACAAUUCACCCUUCAGAAAAGAGCCUGAUCCAUGGGAGCUGCAAUUACAAAAGGCAAAGCCUUUAACACACCGAAGACCUAAAGUUAAGCAGAAGGACUCCACCAGCCUUACUGAUUGGCUAGCUUGUACAAGCACCCGUUCUUUUCCUCGGUCUGAAAUUCUACCACCUAUUAAUAGAAAGCAAUGUCAGGGCUGGGCACAGUGGCUGACGCCUGUAAUUCCAGCACUUUGGGAGGCCAAGGCAGACAGAUCACAAGGUCAAGAGAUCAAGACCAUCCUGGACAACAUGGGGCCCUUCCGAGAUAUCACCGAAGUAUUAGAACAACGCUACAGGCCUUUGGAGCCAACGUUGCGGGUGGCAGAACCAAUCGAUGAGUUAAAGCUGGCCAGAGAGGAGCUCAGAAGAGAGGAAUGGCUGCAAAAUGUAAAUGACAAUAUGUUUUUGCCAUUUUCUUCAUACCAUAAAAAUGAAAAGUACAUCCCAUCAAUGCAUUUAUCAAGCAAGUAUGGUCCUGUUUCUUACAAAGAACAAUUCCGAAGUGAAAAUCCUAAGAAAUGGAUCUGUGACAAGGAAACAAGCACGGCAGAGGCUAAAUAACUUUUCCAAGAUCACAAAGUCCUUAAAGAUAAACCUGGAUUUCAAACCCAGGCGGCUUGACUCCAAAGCAGUAUUGCCUCUGAGCAGAAGUAAUAAGAAAGUUUUCACAUGACCCCUGCAAUCACCAGUGAGACUCUGGCCAUCACACAGUAUGCAAAUGAACUUGGUUUCCUGUUUAGAUUCAGACUGAUAAUGCAUCAUCAACUCAUCAGCUAAAAUUUUCUUCUCUGGGAACAUGUACACAUGGUUUGAUUAAAGAAUGCAUAAUAAAUCCUAAAUCUCUGAGCUUUAGAACAACACAAAUAACUAAGAUUGAAUACUUGAGGAUAUUUUCCUGAAAACAGUGAACAGAAAAAAGGGGAGAAGUCCUACAGCUGUAACAGUUUCCUGUAUAUUCUUUUGUCAGAACUGUAGAGAUCCUCAUGCCAUCACAGUUUUCUACAUGCAAUGAGAGCGAAGUUUGAUCUUGCAGGAAUAAUGCCAGGAUUUCCAGACUGUAUUACCAUCAUUUGAGCUCUUCUCAAAGUAUGGAAAAUUAUAUUCAAAAGCUGGACAGAUUGUAUAAAGGUGUCAGAAGAAGAAACUGAAGCCAUCUGCAUUUUAAAACUUAACAGUUCUGAAAGGAAAACACAGAUGAAGAUCCUGUAGGAAAUAUACUUGCUAUGAUUCAAUAAACUAUAAAAUUUUGUAGCUCUA